rnacentral:rRNA from 1 species
AACGAACGCUGGCGGCAGGCUUAACACAUGCAAGUCGAGCGCCCCGCAAGGGGAGCGGCAGACGGGUGAGUAACGCGUGGGAAUCUACCCAUCUCUACGGAAUAACGCGUGGAAACGUGUGCUAAUACCGUAUACGUCCUUCGGGAGAAAGAUUUAUCGGAGAUGGAUGAGCCCGCGUUGGAUUAGCUAGUCGGUGGGGUAAAGGCCUACCAAGGCGACGAUCCAUAGCUGGUCUGAGAGGAUGAUCAGCCACACUGGGACUGAGACACGGCCCAGACUCCUACGGGAGGCAGCAGUGGGGAAUAUUGGACAAUGGGCGCAAGCCUGAUCCAGCCAUGCCGCGUGAGUGAUGAAGGCCCUAGGGUUGUAAAGCUCUUUCACCGGUGAAGAUAAUGACGGUAACCGGAGAAGAAGCCCCGGCUAACUUCGUGCCAGCAGCCGCCGAACAC